rnacentral:lncRNA from 1 species
UUUGAUCAUGUGCAACGUGCCUAGCAGCGAGUACAUCAGUACUCAACCCAGUGCUGAGGUCACUGAGUCCUGGAGGCAAACUCGUAACGACAAUCUUCUUUCCUCCAAUAUCACUUCCAUCGAGUUGCAAGGCUUUGUCUCCUGCGCCUUCUCCACGCAGGAUAACAAUGCACGACCUCUGGAGCUCAUUUGUUACUGGAUCGCUGCGAAUCUGGAUGUUGUGGAAUUCUCCACAUGCCUUGAAAAGACUCUCCAAAGCCCGGUAGAGUUCAAUGGGUUGAAGGGAAGUGUCGUACCCUUCAACACCGAUCCUUAUCCUGAAUUUUUAAAUAGAACCAAUUAGCAAACACAUUUGAAAGUGAAGUUAUUUUAUUUCUCUUUUAUUAGCAGGUCGAACAAAAAACCAAAGAUUCAAACCAAGAAGGCCUAGCUACUACAAUCAAAACGACCAAGAACAUCAAGCAGAGAAUAAAAUAAAAAAUUAAAGCAGUGGUUGGAAUCAGACUUCUCACUUCAAACUAGCCACAGCAUGUCAUUCAGAAUCAUAAAUAUAUACACAUAUAUUAGCUAGACAAAAGCUGGAUAUUCCCACGAAUAUAGCUAUUCAAUUUAAACCAAAUAAUAGAAAAUUUAUUGGUAUCAACAUUACACAAAAAUGGUUUUUUUACACAAAAACCAAUGGUUUUUUUGUUCGACCUGCUAAUUAUCUAUCAACAAUACACAACAAAAAAAAAAACAGAAAUUUAUUUUCACCUGCUUUUGACGUAAUCAUAGUACGACUUCACGACCUCUAGAUGUGCAUCAGCGGAGAACGGCCUCUUCCACUAAAAUUAUUUAAAAAAAUGUAAUUAGAAUCCUUUAAAAAGUAUAUACAUAUGUAUUAUUAAUUUAAAAAGUACAAUCGCCGACAAAAAAACAAGAACAAAAGAGUUAGGAGAAGGUUUGGGUAAGAGAGAUAGAGAAGAAACAUGCACUAAGUUUGGGAAGAAACAUGCACCAAGUCUUUGAAGCUCUGAACAAUAAUCAAAAGCAAAGAAGGAGAGGGCCAAAGUGACGACGCGUUAGAUGCGCGGAGAAGAAAAAACUCACCGUGAACGGAGCAGAAACCCGAGGAGAAGAUCUGGAUCUCUCCAUCGACUCCUUGACAAAAUUGGCGAAAGGAGAUCCUUCCAUGGACGAUGAGAUCGAUGCUUUUGUCUCUAGGGAUUUUAGGAAGAAUAUCUUAUUUUCUGACUCAAACUUGCAGGGACUUUAUACUUGUUUUUUUUUUGUUAGUGAUUUAAAGGUUAUUAUUAAUAUAAAUUUAUAGUUAAAGCGAAAACAUUCUUUUUUCUUUUUGUACUUUGGAAAAAAGAUAGUGGAUGGUAUUUGUGGUAAAAUUCGAAAGAGUCGUGUAGAGAAAAUGAAGUUUUUUUUGGAAAGAGAAAUGUAAAACGCAAAUAUAUAUUUUUGUAGGUUGAAGAAAAAUAUAUUGGAGAGCUUUUCUUGUAAAAUAGUGGUUAGAUAAAAUUAAAGUCUUUUGAAGUAAAAGAAAAGUAAAAAAGCUAAAGAGUGAAAAGUUUUAAGAGGUAAAAUAAAUGUAAAAUGUGAAUUAUCAAUUUUGGUAUGUUGAAAGUUAGUUUUUACGGUAAAAGUUUUCACGAAAAAAAAACUAAAUUUAUCUAUUUGGGUACGUUGAAUAUAUGUAACGGAAAGCAAAUAAAAUAAGAAUGGGUAUACUAAGUUUUAAAAAAAUAAUAUUUCGAACGUUGUAAACAAAGUUUUCUUUUUCUACAAUUAAACUAAAAUCCAAUUAUUUAUUUGGGUACGAUGAAUAUAUGUGACGGAGAACAAAAAAGGUAAGAUUGGGUAUACAAGUUAAAAAAUUAUCUAUUUGGGACGUUGAAAAAAGAGCUUUCUUCUUCUACAAUUAAACUAAAACCGAAAGUUGUACUACUCAAUAGUGAUUAAAAUCUGACUAGUGAUAAAGUUAAAAAAAAUUGGAUAAUUUAAUAGAAUUGAGUGGAAUUUAAAUCUAGACCUAAAUACACUGUUAUUGGAUUGGGUAUUUGGUAAAUAAAAUUUAAAUCCAUUGAAAACCCGUGGUAUUCAAUACUGUAUUUUUUAGAUUUAGUUAUAAUUCAGUUAUGGUGAAUUUUAAUGGAAUUCAAUAUUUCUUUUUGACUAAAACAAAUCUACUUUUUCUAUCAAGACUUUGUAGGAAAUGAGACUUGAAUAUCUUUUCCAUCAAAUUACUUGCAUACUUUAAUUCCAAUAUUUAUUCUAAUUAUCCAAUUCAAUAACACCCCUAAAUCUGAUUAGUGACUAAGACCACCAUUAUCGUGGUUUCUCCGCUUGGUUUUUAAAUAAUGGGUCAUUUAAUUAAAUCAUAACUAAUUAAAAAAUUGUAACUGAUCCUUAAUAUGAGUCAAUUUGUAACUGAUACUUAAUAUGAGUCUUUCGUGACCGAUUACAAAAGAGUUUCAAGGGAUACGUGUCAUAUGUGUCAGCAAGUAAACAAGGAAAGGUGGGUUUUUUUCUUCCUCUCUAUCUUUUCUUUCUUUGUUUAUUUUUUUUAUUUUUCAUUUUUUUUUCUUUGUUUUUUCGUUACACUCAAUUUGAUGUUUCAGAGUUGCAACAACUCAAUUUGAUGUUUCAGAGUUGCAACAAGCCGAAGAUAACAGAAGUUCACAUGUGGAUCUCACGUAUUCUACAGAUAUUCCAACAAAUAUCAUCAAUAUGAUGGGUGUUUGAACUAAAUUAAUGAUAGACAAAUGCAGCAACAAGUGAAAGCUGAUUUAGUUGAACAUGUAUGGAGUAAAUUUGGACGUGAUGAAGACGACAACUGAGCUCGGAUAUCGUUUAUUUUACUAAUCUUUGUUUUCAUGUUUUUUAAUUUUAAAAUCUAUGUUGAAAAUUAUAUCUUUUAAUACAUUUUAUUAAAGAAAUAAAUUUUAUCUUGUAAUUUUUUUAAAAAAAUCUUAAUUUAAGAAACUAUCAUUGGAAGUACAAAAUCGAACAGUUUCUUAACAGGGUUUCUUAACUCCACUUAAGUAUAUUUAUAUAUUUAAAUAAUCUUUAGAAAACACUAAUGAGUUUCUGUGGAUAAUCAUACUUUAUGAUUAUUGGUAAAACCAUGUAAGAUGUUCUUAAAGAAAAAAAUAUAUUAUAUUAAAGGCUUAUUUGUGAUAUAACCAUAAAAAAAGUUAAAUUAGUUUUGUAGAAAAAGGUUAGAGAGAGAUAAGAAGAAAACAGAGGAGAGAGAGGAUGAUUUUGUUUAUAUAAUGAAUUAGGGGUUUUUGUUUGGUUAUACCACCUAAUUUCCCUUAUAUUAAUGUAUUUUUUUUUCUUUAUAAAACAUAACCAAUUAAUAUAUGACACAUAUGUGUGUCAAAAUAGGAACCGUUUCUUAAAAUUAAUAAUUAAGAACCUUUCAAUUUUUCUUUCUUAACUUUUUAUUAUUUUAAUUGUUUUAAUCAUAGGAAUUUUUGUUAAGAACCCAUGAAUUAUCAUGCUCUAACUGAUUCAAAAUAUAUACUGAUCCUUUAUAUUAAAUUAGGAGAGUAGGAGCAAUAAUAUACAACUAGCUACCAUAGAUACUAACUGAUUACAUGUAUUGAAUCAAAACUCUCUAUUGGUAUCUUAGCUCUCCAAUAAUCAUUUGAUUUUAACAUGAACUAUCUAAAUAAUCAGAAAGAGAUACAUGAGUUUAAUUAAGUACUGGAUGCAAGAAAAAAAAUGAUGAAUGAAGAGUUUGUGGUUAAAGCGUGGGUUGAUAUAGUUUUUGCGGUAAAAGUAGGUUGAAGAAAUAAAGUUUUCUGGUUAAAAGUAAAAAAAAAUCUAUAUAUAUGUUCGUUGAAAGAAUGGGACGGAGAGUAAUUAAGGUAAAAAUUUAAAGUUUAUGUAAUAAAAUCAAUUACUUUAGUUAUGCUAAUAUAUUAUAUUUAACCAAAAUUACAUUCUUAAGAAAGUCUUAUACUUUCAGAAACAGAAAUUAAUUACUUCAGUAUGGUAAUAUAUUAUAUUUAACCAAAAUUAUCAUUUUUAAAAAAUAUUAUAUAUAUAAUUUAUUAAUAUCUAAUAAAUAAAACAUUAAACUAUAUUUACUUAUAAGAAUACUAAAAUUAUUUUAAAAUUAUAUGAUACAUUGGUUAUAUUUAAAAUAUUUAAUCUAAAAAUAGAUAUAUAAAAGGUAUGAAAUAAAAGUAAAACUACCAGUUAUCAAAUCUAAAAGUUAGUUUUUAUGUAUUCUUUUGGUGAACCCAACAUUAUAUGUCAUAUUGACCAAAAAAAUUAUAACUUAAUGUAUAAGUAGAAUUAUAAUUAUGAAAAAUUAUUAGUUACUCAUAAAAAUCUGUAUAUAUAAAUAAAUAAACAGAAAAAUAUUAAAUAACUGGCUUGUUAUAUAUCAUAGAUUUUUUAAAAGUGAUAAAACUAAUAAAUUUUAUUUAUUUAAUAGUUAAUAAAUUUUAUUUAUUUAAUAGUUUAAAAGAUAAAAUUAUGUAUUGUUGUGGUUACGAAACAUUGUCAUUAACAUGUAUGCCACAUCAUUUUAAUAUAUAUUGCAUACAAAACUAAAAAUAUGAAAGAUUAAACAUAACGGGAGUAAUCAGGACAUGCAGAAACAGUUCCAGAAAAAAAAAAGACAUGCAAAAAUUCUGAAAGCCAUUAUUAGUCCCAAAAAAAAAAGACAUGCAGUACAUAACUGAAAACUAUGUUGGCAAUUUAUAAUGGUUUUCUUUUGACUUUAUUGUGACGGUCCUAGUUGUCUCCAUAACUAGGUCGUUUUCCAUUGUAUGAAAAAAAUAUUUUUUUCAUAUACAAAAUGCAAUUUUUUUUACUUAUUAUUUAUGGUUGUGACGCAAAAAAUUCCUAACUGUUCAAGAACUGUAUGUUAUUACGGUGUUACCACACUAAUCUUCAAGAGGCAUUGACUACUUAGCAUUGAAAAGAUUUUUUUGGAGUGACGCACUUUUAGUUAUGAAUCAGCUAGUUCUUUUUUUUUUGAUAAAAGAAUCAGGUAGUUCUUUCUUACCGAUAAUGCCAUUUAGAACCAAAAUACAGAAACAGAAUCCUUCACGCGUUUCAGUAAGUGAUUAGGUCUUUAUCAUAAUGGUUGCAUUGGCUUUGUCUAGUAGACACAAACGAAUAUUUGCAAUUUAAUAAUUAUAGUGUUCACAUAUUAUGCAUUCUCAUAUAGUUUUAUUAGAAGCUGAAACUUUUUUUUUUAUGGUUGACACAUUACACCAAAAGUAAUAGAUAUCGCGAUUAUAUAGAUAGGGGGUAGAGAUAGAAGCAUCGCCAUAGCAGGCUCUAGAUCAUUUCGGCACCGAUCACAUCAUUAUAUAUGCUCCGAUUAACUCCACAAACUGAUCAAUGACUCCCAUGCCCAAUUCAACGUGCAUGAAACCACCGUCGAUUAAGCCAGAACUGUCUCGAAACCUGACAUAAGGAACUCCUUGAGACUUGCCUAUACCAGUAGCAAACAUAGCAUGGCAACCUGGGCAAUGAGAAAGCAGUUCCGUGAUAGUUGGACAAUAUAUCUUCUGCAAAAAAAAAAAUUAAAAUAAAUGAAACUAAAAUUCAAGUUAACAGCAAAAUAUAUAUAGCUUUCAACUCACGUUUUCAGGGAAGUUUCCAGGGGCUAAGAACUCAGAUAAAGAAGCAUAGUUUGGGAUGUGGAAGCAGUAACUGGGGAAUAACGCAUUACAUCAAUAAAUUUAGUUUCAAACUCUUCAGCAUUCCGAUAUAGAUCAAGAGUAUGAACUCUCAUAUCGGUAACAACGAACCUACGGAUUCCACUCUAUAUAGAAAAAGAAAGAAGAGGUAGUUAUUAUCAUACAAAAAGAAACCAAUAUAGUAUAAGUUACAUUUACUUACCGGAAGUGGUAUUGCCGGGAGCCUUAAAAACUGAGCAAACAAUCUUUGAUAAUCAUCAUCCAGGACCAUACCCUCAUACAUCAGGAAGGGCCUAACCGAUUCGAGGAAAGGGAUGCCCAAGGUGUCUGUUAGCGUAGAAAACUCGCUCAUGUACUGGACCAAGUAUGUCACGGAGAUAGACUCUGGACCAAUCAAGUUCGCAAUGCGACAAGCCGCAUUCAUGUCCCGCAUAAGAGAAUACGCCCAACCGGUGCUAUAAAACUGUACCCACGGGAAGUCGUCGACGAGUUGAUAAACAUCUUCCCAAUUUGUGGACAAAGUCAUAUUCUGCAACAGGAAAUCAAUAUAUAAGAUUUUUUAAAAUCCGAACCAACAGAAAUGAUAUUAAGCAAUGUCAUUUGUUCAUGUAAAAAAGAAAACAAGAAGAAGAUUAAGAUCACUAAAAAUAAAUAACUUACGUAUCUUGCUUGAGAGGAAAAAAAUAUGUUGAAAAAAAUGAGAGUGGAGAUUUAUCGUUGAAGUGUGGGUAGAUAUAAUGAACUUUUUUGAAGGAAAAAAUAAAUAAAUAAAAAGUUAAAAGUUUUAAGAGGUAAAAUAAAUGUAAGAAGUGAAUUAUCUAUUUUUGCAUGUUGAAAGUUAGUUUUUGCGGUAAAAGUUUUCAUAAAAAAAGCAAAAUUAUCUAUAUAUUUGCGUACGUUGAAUAAAUGAGACCGAGAGAAAAUAAGGUAAGAGUGGGUUUACAAGUUAAAAAAUUAUCUAUUUUGGACGUUGAGAAAAGAGUUUUCUUCUACAAUUAAAAUAAAAUCCAAAGUUUUAUUACUCAACAGUGAUCAAAAUCUGACUAGUGAUAAAGUUUUUUUAUAAAAAAAUCUGACUAGUGACUACUAACUGAUUCACAAUACUGAUCCUUUAUAUUAAAUUAGGAGAGUAGGAACAAUAAUAUAAAACCAGCUACAAUAUAUACUAACUGAUUACAUGUAUUGAAUCAAAACUCUAUUGGUAUCUUAGCGCUUCAAUAAUCAUUUGAUUUUAACAUGAACUAUCAAAAGAAUCAGAAACAGAUACAUGAGUUUUUUUUUUAUCAAAAAAAGAGAUACAUGAGUUUAAGUACUAGAUGCAAAGAAAAAAAAUGAUGAAUGAAGAGUUUGUGGUUAAAGUAUGGGUUGAUAUACUGAUUUUAUUUUUUGGAAAAAAAGAAGUAAAAAACAAUGUUCGUAUGUUGGAAGAUAGUUUUUGCGGUAAAAGUAGGUUGAAGAAAUAAAGUUUCCUGGUAAUAUAAAAGUAAAAAAAAAUCUCUAUAUCUAUUCGAUGGAAAAAUGGGACGGAAAUCAAUUAAGGUAAAAAUUUAAAGUUUAUGUAUUUAGGUACGUUAAAAAAAGAGUUUUCUUCUUCUUAAAUUAAACUAGAAUCCAAAGUUCCAUUACUCAUAGUGAUUGAUAUCUGACUACAAACUGAUUCACACAAUACUGAACUGAUCCUUAUAUUAAACUCGGAGAGAGUAGGAUCAAUAAUAUACAACCAACAAGUCAAAAAACUCUCUUGGUAUCUUAACUCUCUAAUAAUUUCUUAACAUUUUUACCAAAAAAAAAACUCUCUAAUAAUCUUUUGGUUUUAACAUGAUCUAUCUAAAUAAACAGAAAGAGAUACGUGAGUUUAGGUACUAGACAAAGAAAAAGGAUAAUAUAUUAUUGCUUUAUAACCAAUGGAAUGAAUCAUUUUGUUUGACUUUGACGAUCUCCAUAAAACAUGAAUUAGACGUAGAUUGAGUCGGUGUAGAUUUGAUCAAUUAGUUGCAUUAUAUUUUAUCUCAAGGCUCUACGCUGGGCAUCAGAGAUUUAAAUCGGUAAUUGUUUCAAUCCCCAUGGCCGACCCUGGUGGUGACCACUGGAGCGUUGCUAGCCGAUAGAUCAAAUACCUUGGUGAUUGAUCCUUGGUUUGUAAAUUGGAAAGAAAGCACGGAACAUUCAUUACACCAGUUAUCGGCAAAACAUCCAUUCAAUCCUUGCUUCGAGUUUCAAGUUUUGGCAUACGAAGAUUAACACACUAAUUACUGAAAAUUAACAUUAUUAUUAUUAAGAAAGACACAAUGUUAAGUCUGUCAUCAGACCCAAAAACAAGAAAAGAAACUCAUUCUUAGAACAACUCUAAAAAUGAAUUUACACCAAAAAAUUCUUGGAGCUAUGUGUACCUGUAUAUGUCUCACUAAUUUUUGAGCUCCGUUUUUAACAGGUCUUCCACAUGUUGCAUUUCAAUCUAAAAGCCUUGGAGCUCUGUGCAAGAGUAAGAAUCCAAUCCUUGCUGGUCUGAUCUUUCCUCCCAGUCCUGAACCAACUUUUAUUUCCUCUAAGCAUUGGUUUUUGAUGUUCGUCUUAUAUGCAUCGUGCAGAAAGUUGCAGCUGCAUCAAGUAACAUAAGAAGGGCUAUAUCUUCAUGCAGGUGAAUUCAACAUUUUUAAGUUUUUGUUUUCUUAGUUUUGGAAGCACGAGUGAUAUGAUAUUAAUAUCAAGGACUCCUGCAGACCUGGUCUAAUUGCAUUGCUCGUAUUGUCCUAAAUGUUACAGGUGAGGAUGGAUCAUAUGGCUGAUGAAUUAUCUAAGACGUUUAAGUCUCCUCUAUUGAAUUAUCGAACUCGAUGUUGACGAGAAGGUGGCCUGUGGAUGGAACUGGGAUGAAGAUUAGCUCUGUUUCUUUCACCAUCUCUCUCUGUUUGUUCUAGUGGUUUACAGAAACUUAUCACUUGUCACAACAUUUGGUUCGUUCGAGAGCCGUGUGACAAAUAAUAACUGCCAAUAAUGUUUUUAAAUGUCUACUUCUUGACCAAACUUUUGGUUUGUUUUUAAUAUUACACUUUUGGUGAGAUGAGUGAGAUAAGCUGUUAAUAUUAUUUGUUUAAGUUUAAAUUACGAGUCUUCGUGAUGAUAAUCAAAAGUGAUGCCCAAGAAUGCAGUGGCGGAUGAUGAAUUUCUACCCGGGACAAAACCACAAAACACCAGUAAUAUGCGUAUGAUGAAAUUUGACUUUAUUUUUAACGAUUCUCUAGUGUGCAACUGAAUUACUGAUGUACGGAAAACCUCCAACGAAAUUUGACAAAGCUUAAUCGAAUUUUAGCCACAUUAUUCGAUGUUUCACGAUAUUUUUUCAUUAUUGAAUGACUGAUGUACGGGUCUCUCUCAUUAGUCAUGUUCUUAUCAAAUAACACGAAUAGACCUAGUUGAUCUAUCAACCCACCCAAAGACAUAUCGAUUUGAGUCAAUGGGCUUCUGACUCUUUUUCCACAAAAUAAACAAUUACAGCCAAAAUAACAGUUACUAAUAAAAUGUUUUACAGUCUCGUACUAAUACUCAAUAGGACGAAAAGAGGAUUGAACAUUCGUAUUUAGCAGUUCAGCGUGGAACAAGACUCCUUGAUUAUUUAUGAUCCGUCUCCCGUAAAUUUCGAAUGUAAAUUUAAUCUGUCUGUGAUAUCAUCACACAAGAACUGUCAUGAUUGUUGAUAAAUUUAUUUACAUGUUAGGCGGUUUUUGUUGUCGUUAUUGAUGGGUGAUUCGUAAAGAAUUCUCCAACGACAAAUUCUUUCUUGGACCAAAUAAGAUAAAGUCGGUCGAGAAGACUUGUAAGUUCUACAUUCUCUGUUAUAAUCAAAUGAUUAAAAAACUGUCCAUGUGAAAUCAAGUAGUAAUUAAACAAUACCCGAAAGGGAAAUUGGGCUGUAUAACCACCAAAAAAAUUAUAAUUCAAUCUCUAACUAAAAACCUUAUUUUUUCACUGUAUCAUGUGUCUUUUAUAUAAUAUUUUCGUAUUGCCCUCUGGUAAAACCUGCAGAAAAAAAAAUUAAUAAUCAUUAUAUUUUAAAAAUAAUUUGUGUCCAGUAGAAAGUCACACAUCCACACAUAAUUUUUUCUUCUUCUUCUUUCCUGUUUCUUCGUGUUCCUCUCUCUCUCUCUCUCAAAUUUCUGUUUUUUUUAUACAACGAACACAUAAAUCUCUGUCACAUAGCUUCAAUCACCUCUACAUGUACAACCAGCACAACCAUCAUCAUCAUCGUUUGUUUCAUCGCCGCCACCGUAUUUGCUCCGUCAUCAUCUCCGUAAUUUUUACCUUUCUUCUUUUUCGAGAAAUUAAAUCGUUUGAUUCUCAGAUUUGGGAGAGAGCAAUGAGACGGACACGAUUAUCAGAGUUGAUUUUUGCAAGAGUAUAACAUCUUUGCAUUCUCGGUGGGUGGCUGAAGGGGAGGUUUCUCUGAUUGUGAAAUCGAUGGUGUCUUGUUUGACGGAAGAGGAAACACGGCAACAUGAAGUAACAACGGCCAGUUCUUCUUCCCAGAUGUGUCUUGUUGUUUUCUACUUUUUGUUACUAUACUAUUUUAUUAUGUUCUAUUCCAUUUGACGAUUAAUAAAGAGUGUUCUAUUUUGUUUAGAAAUAUAUUUUGUAAUUUUCUUAAUAUCUAACUAUCAUUACAUGUUUUGAAUCUGUAAAAACCGUACUAUGAUUUAUAUUGUAUAGUUUAAUAUUAUAUAAUAUGAUUUAAUAUUGCAUAAUAUUGCAUACAUUUUUAUAUUUUGAUAUUUGGGUUUAGGGUUUAGUGAUUAUAGUUUAGGGUUUACUAAUUAGAAGGUGAGGGGUUAUGGUUGGAGUCAUUAUUAACUUCUUUCAUGCAAUCAUAGAUAUUUCAUAAUUUUACCAGUAUGUACUAUUCUAUUUAUUUUGUUCCAUUCUAUUUGGGUUUAGGGUUUAUAUUUGGAUUUAUGGUUUAUAUUUGGGUUUAGGUUCGCUGAUUAGAGUUUAGGGUUUAGUAUUUUAGGGGAUGGGGUGGGGUUGGGAUAAAGUUUAGGGUUCACUGAUUAGAGUUGAGGAUUUAGUAUUGGAACUACAUUUUCUCUAUUUCUAUUCUAUAUGACUCAUGUAGAAUGGUAAUGUAUUUUACUGGCAUUUUAAAAUUUGAGUUUAGUUUAUGGAAAAUUGGGGUUAAACACAGGUUAAGGUUUAGAUUUUGAUAUUUGGGUUCAUAUUUGUUCCAUUCUAUUUGGGUUUAGGGUUUAUAUUUGGAUUUAUGGUUUAUAUUUGGGUUUAGGUUCGCUGAUUAGUGUUUAGGGUUUAGUAUUUUAGGGGAUGGGGUGGGGUUGGGAUAAAGUUUAGGGUUCACUGAUUAGAGUUGAGGAUUUAGUAUUGGAACUACAUUUUCUCUAUUUUUAUUCUAUAUGACUCAUGUAGAAUGGUAAUGUAUUUUACUGGCAUUUUAAAAUUUGACUUUAGUUUAUGGAAAAUUGGGGUUAAACACUGGUUAAGGUUUAGAUUUUGAUAUUUGGGUUAACGUUUAGUGAUUAGAGUAUAGGGUUUAGGGUUUAUUAUUUAGAAGGUGAGGAAGUAUGGUUGGGAUCAAUAUUAACCUCUUCCAUAAAAUCAUAGACAUUUCAUAUUUUCACCAAUAUGUACUAUGUUAUUUAUUUUGUUUCAUUAUAUUUGGGUUUAGGGUUUAUGUUUUAGUUUAGGGUUUAUAUUUACGUAAGGGUUUAGUAAUUCGGGUCUAGGGUUUAGCAUUUAGAAAGUGACGGUAUGUUUGAGGUUAACAUUAAUUUCUUCAAUGUAAUUAUAGACAUUUCAUAAUUUUUUCAAUAUGUAUUAUGUUAUUUAGUUUUUUCUAUUUUAUUUGGAUUUUGGUUUGAAAUUUAGAUUUAUUAUUUAUAUUUGGGUUUAGGAUUUAUUGAUUAGAGUUUAUGAUUUAGUAUUUAGGGGUUAAGGUGUGAUUAGAAUAAGGUUUAGUAUCUAGGGUUUGGGGUUGGGAUAUGUUUAGUAUUACAGAUUGUAAAUUAUGUUAUAUAAUCUAUACUAUUUCGGUUAUAUGGAAUAGAGCAUUCGGUGUAUGUGACUAAUAAAAGUGUAACGUGGAUGAUUUUUUCUUUCUAAUGAAAUAAGACUACGUGGACACACAGAACACAUUAUUACCGGAUAAUGUCAAAGAGAAAAGGUAUAACUGGAUGAAUUAGGGUGUAAAUGUUAGUUUCUAUAUUAUGUCAAAAUUAAUGUCACUCACUUAAUUUCUCUUCUAAAUAUGGCUAGUUGGCAAAUAAGCCCUACCCGAAAUAUAAGUUUUUUUUGUAGUAAUUAAACAUAUCCGAAAUAUAAGUUUUUUUGGUAGUAAUUAAACAUAUACUAAACCGAACAAAUAAACAAGCCGAAAUUCAUUAAAUAAAAACCCGAAUUCCUCUCACAUCUGAUGUGUUUGUUCCCCCCCUUGUCUUUGCGAGAGUAGCCAACCUAAAACGGUAACGCAAACGGGUCCAGCCACUAGCUCCAGCGGGUUCUUUGGGCUUUGGAUAGGGCAAGGCCUUGACCACCAGUGUGCAGCCUCCUAGGUCAGAUCCAGACAGCUGAACCGCACGGUGGUUGGAGCCUAGUCCGUAGAAAUAGACGAGGGCACGGCUGAUAAAAAUAAAUAAAAAUGGUUACUAAGCGAAUUGGGUUUUGUAACAAAACUGGAGAAAGGUUCUAACUUCUAACCUGUUGAGAAGGAAAACAUCGGUAAUCUCGCCACAUGUGGAGAAAUGGUUACUCAAAGCAUUCUUGAUAUCAUCUCUAGGAAGAGAAGUGGCAUAUCCAGUCACGGAUACGCCUUCGCUACUGCAAGAGUAAAAAAAAUUGCAUUGUAUUAACACAACUUGCGUAAGUAAGAAAAUGUGAUUAGCAUAAAUAAUAACUUACCGGUUUCGUAGAUGAUGUGCAACGUGCCUAGCAGCGAGUACAUCAGUACUCAACCCAGUGCUGAGGUCACUGAGUCCUGGAGGCAAACUCGUAACGACAAUCUUCUUUCCUCCAAUAUCACUUCCAUCGAGUUGCAAGGCUUUGUCUCCUGCGCCUUCUCCACGCAGGAUAACAAUGCACGACCUCUGGAGCUCAUUUGUUACUGGAUCGC